rnacentral:rRNA from 1 species
AGUGAACGCUGGCGGUAGGCCUAACACAUGCAAGUCGAACGGCAGCACAAUAAGAUCGUGCUCUUACGGGUGGCGAGUGGCGGACGGGUGAGGAAUAGAUCGGAAUCUACUUUUUCGUGGGGGAUAACGUAGGGAAACUUACGCUAAUACCGCAUACGACCUACGGGUGAAAUCAAUGGAUCUUCGCACCUUGCGCGAUUGAAUGAGCCGGUGUCGGAUUAGCUAGUUGGCGGGGUAAAGGCCCACCAAGGCGACGAUCCGUAGCUGGUCUGAGAGGAUGAUCAGCCACACUGGAACUGAGACACGGUCCAGACUCCUACGGGAGGCAGCAGUGGGGAAUCUUCGACAAUGGGCGCAAGCCUGAUCCAGCCAUGCCGCGUGGGUGAAGAAGGCCUUCGGGUUGUAAAGCCCUUUUGUUGGGAAAGAAAAGCAGCAGGUUAAUACAUCGCUGUUCUGACGGUACCCAAAGAAUAAGCACCGGCUAACUUCGUG